rnacentral:rRNA from 1 species
CCGUGACGCUGGCGGCGUGCCUAAUACAUGCAAGUCGAGCGAACGGACGAGAAGCUUGCUUCUCUGAUGUUAGCGGCGGACGGGUGAGUAACACGUGGAUAACCUACCUAUAAGACUGGGAUAACUUCGGGAAACCGGAGCUAAUACCGGAUAAUAUUUUGAACCGCAUGGUUCAAAAGUGAAAGACGGUCUUGCUGUCACUUAUAGAUGGAUCCGCGCUGCAUUAGCUAGUUGGUAAGGUAACGGCUUACCAAGGCAACGAUGCAUAGCCGACCUGAGAGGGUGAUCGGCCACACUGGAACUGAGACACGGUCCAGACUCCUACGGGAGGCAGCAGUAGGGAAUCUUCCGCAAUGGGCGAAAGCCUGACGGAGCAACGCCGCGUGAGUGAUGAAGGUCUUCGGAUCGUAAAACUCUGUUAUUAGGGAAGAACAUAUGUGUAAGUAACUGUGCACAUCUUGACGGUACCUAAUCAGAAAGCCACGGCUAACUACGUGCCAGCAGCCGCGGUAAUACGUAGGUGGCAAGCGUUAUCCGGAAUUAUUGGGCGUAAAGCGCGCGUAGGCGGUUUUUUAAGUCUGAUGUGAAAGCCCACGGCUCAACCGUGGAGGGUCAUUGGAAACUGGAAAACUUGAGUGCAGAAGAGGAAAGUGGAAUUCCAUGUGUAGCGGUGAAAUGCGCAGAGAUAUGGAGGAACACCAGUGGCGAAGGCGACUUUCUGGUCUGUAACUGACGCUGAUGUGCGAAAGCGUGGGGAUCAAACAGGAUUAGAUACCCUGGUAGUCCACGCCGUAAACGAUGAGUGCUAAGUGUUAGGGGGUUUCCGCCCCUUAGUGCUGCAGCUAACGCAUUAAGCACUCCGCCUGGGGAGUACGACCGCAAGGUUGAAACUCAAAGGAAUUGACGGGGACCCGCACAAGCGGUGGAGCAUGUGGUUUAAUUCGAAGCAACGCGAAGAACCUUACCAAAUCUUGACAUCCUUUGACAACUCUAGAGAUAGAGCCUUCCCCUUCGGGGGACAAAGUGACAGGUGGUGCAUGGUUGUCGUCAGCUCGUGUCGUGAGAUGUUGGGUUAAGUCCCGCAACGAGCGCAACCCUUAAGCUUAGUUGCCAUCAUUAAGUUGGGCACUCUAAGUUGACUGCCGGUGACAAACCGGAGGAAGGUGGGGAUGACGUCAAAUCAUCAUGCCCCUUAUGAUUUGGGCUACACACGUGCUACAAUGGACAAUACAAAGGGCAGCGAAACCGCGAGGUCAAGCAAAUCCCAUAAAGUUGUUCUCAGUUCGGAUUGUAGUCUGCAACUCGACUACAUGAAGCUGGAAUCGCUAGUAAUCGUAGAUCAGCAUGCUACGGUGAAUACGUUCCCGGGUCUUGUACACACCGCCCGUCACACCACGAGAGUUUGUAACACCCGAAGCCGGUGGAGUAACCUUUUAGGAGCUAGCCGUCGAAGGUGGGACAAAG